rnacentral:rRNA from 1 species
GCAUAGCCUUAAACCAAGGUAAUUCAAUAACAAAAUUACUCGCCAGGAAACUACUAGCAAUCGCUUAAAACUCAAAGGACUUGGCGGUGCCCUAAACCCACCUAGAGGAGCCUGUUCUAUAAUCGAUAAACCCCGAUAUACCUUACCCUUUUUUGCCAUUACCGUCUAUAUACCGCCAUCGUCAGCCCACCCCAAAAGGGAUAAAAAGUAAGCAAGAUUAUCUAAACCAUAAAAACGUUAGGUCAAGGUGUAGCAUAUAAAAGGGAAAGUAAUGGGCUACAUUCUCUAUAUUAGAGAAUAACGAAUCAUUUUAUGAAACUAAAAUGUUUGAAGGAGGAUUUAGUAGUAAAUUAAGAAUAGAGAGCUUAAUUGAAUUAGGCAAUAGGGCGCGC